AUAUCAUUUCUGAAAUGCCCAAGGAAUGAAGGGAGAGGAUAUGGAUUUCUUAAACAGUUUUUGCAAGAGGAGCGGUGUCUUGUUCUGCAGGUUACCCCAGCCCCUCCGAAGUUGCCUGAUGGAGGCAACAAGCCAGAGAUCUACGUCCCCUGGUGAUGGUCCCUGUUGGAUGAAGACACUGAGGCUGAAAUAUAAGCAACUUCCCCAAGGACCUGCAGACACUAAGCAUGCAACCAGGACAAAUCUCAAAUGCAUUGUGCUAAAUGGAAGAAGCCAGACUCAG